ensembl:lncRNA
UAAAUGCGGAUGAAAUUAGUAUAGCUGGAGCAGAAGAUAAUAACUACAAUGAUUUAUAUAAUGACAACGACAUGAAUAAUCAAUUACUUAUGGAUAUAUCUGGUAUCAAUUCAUUAGGUUUUGACAACGACAAUAAUGAUUUCAUAAACAAUAAUAUGAUGAAUAGUAAUAACUAUCAGUCGUAUAAUAUGGAAAAUGUGUUAGAUGGUUCGUAUUUAUCACGCAACAGUAUUCAGUCUAAUCAAUUUGAUAAUUUACAUUUAAAUAGAUCUUUAUCACAGUCUUUUCACCCUAUGGAUAGUUUAAAUAUAGAUAAUUCAUUAUUAAAUAAUAUGAUUCCUAAAAAUGCUUUUAAUAAUGCAGAAAACAGUUUAAAUGAAAAGAGUAUGUUAGGAGGUGAAUAUAACAACUUAGACUUGAACGAUUUACAUAAAACGGAUGAUGGUCAUAUAGGAUCGAUGAAUAUAUGCAAUGAUAUGGAACGUGACAAUAUGAAUAAUAGUAAUACUAAUAUGAAUUUUAUAAAUGAUCAAACCAAAAGGGCAAGUGUUAUGAGUAAUAGUAAUGCUUUUCAAAUGAAUAAUCCUUUUAAUGACAUAAGUGCUCAUCAUCCAAAUGAGCCUGGUUUAGGUUUUAGAAGAAGUAGGUUGAGUAUCGAUAGUAAUAACAUGAAUAAUGAAGACAUGAUGAAUAAUGUUAAUAUUGAUGGUGGGUUAAAUGUGUCUAGUAAUUUUGAAAAGUUUGGAACGACUGGUCUUAAUGACAAAAUGUAUGGUAAUAAUUUUGUUGGAGGUAUUAGUAGUAGGAUGCGCACGUCCGUAACUCCCAGAGGAGAUGAUUUUUAUAAUUUGAAUCCAUAUAUGAAUUCAAUGAGCAUGCACGGUUCAAAUCAUAAUAACAUUAAUCUUAUGAAUAAUUAUCAACAUCAACAAUUUACACAAAGAAUGCACAUAAACAAUUUUAAUGACAUUGACGAUACCGGAAGUAAUAAUGUUAUGAUGGGAAGUAUGUUUAGUUUAAUGAAAAAAAAGAAAAUACCAAAAAAAAAUGAUUUCACAAAUUUAUUAAAUUAUGAAACGUAUCAUAAUUUUGAUUACUUUGAUCAGAAGGAUGAUUGUGCCUUUAUUCAGAAGUUGAAUGCUUUGCUCGGUUUAGAUGAGAUCGAAAAGGAGGAUGCAACAAAGAAUGGUAAUCAGAAUUUGGAAGAAGAAGCGGAUGUAGGUAAACACAUAGAUGGUGAGCUUGCUACUGUGACACCUGGAAAAGAGGGCACUAGUAUAAAUAAUGAAUCAAGCGAAAAGCAAAAUGAAAAAAAUGAAAAAAAUGAAAAAAAUGGAAAAAAUGAGCCAUCCAAUAUGAACAAACAGCUAAGCGAAACAAUUUUAAACAAAGAAAAUGAACAAAAUGAAACAAACGAAGUGGCUAUUUUUAAUAAAAAUGAAAAUAGUACUACAACACCAAGUAUGAAAAAAAAAAAAUCAGAAAAACAUGUGGUUGAUAAAAACUGUGUCAUUAAAGAUAGACAACUUAAAAGUAUACUAAAAAACGAAAGUGUAGAUUAUAAAAAUUUUUUGGUUAAUAGCAUACAGAGUGAAAUAAAUGAAAAGAUACAAAAAGAAUAUCCAAUAUAUCAAUAUUUUUAUAUGCAUACAACUAAUGAAAAAAGUAUAAAACAUUUCCAAUUAUAUAAAUUUGAAACAAACUUUGGAUAUGAUUCAACAAAUCAUAAUGAAAGAAAGGAUGUACUAGAACAAUGUUUAAAUUAUUCGUUAAAUAAAAAAUAUGACUAUUAUGAGCAUAAAGAAAAAAAUGACAUCUAUUUGAUUGGGAGUGGAAGUAGCGACGACAAUAUUACCUCCCAAUGUACAACAAGCCACAUCGGUGUCGAUGACUAUAAUGAUGACUAUUUUUUAUAUAAUACAAAUGAACACACGUUUGAUAAUAAUCUGUUUUUAUCUUUUGGAAACGAACUAAACGGAAACGAACUAAAUGGAGACGAACUAAAUGGGGACGAACUAAACGGAGACGAACUAAACAGAGACGAAAUAAACGAAGAUAAUAGUAUGAAAAAUGAUAAUGAACAUAUGAACUUUGAAGAAGCAAGGGAACAAUUCAAUGACUUAGAAUAUGAUGCACAUAAUAUGAACCCAAGUAUGAACCCAAGUGAAUAUAAAAAUAGAUCCAGCUUAAUGGAUCCAAUGUUAUCUCAAAAUGAUUACUUGAAUGAUCUUCAUUUUAAAGAUACUAUCGAAUCAAAGAUGUUUUUGGAUAGUCAAAUGACAAAAAGUAUGAUAACAAGUAGAGAAGACAUAGAUGAUGAUAGUCAUUAUAAUAAUACAAGUGUUAAUAAAAAUGGUGAUAUAUCAAAUAUAAAUACUAUAAGUGAUAGAUUAAAUUGGGAAUUUAAUGAUAGUAAUUCUGUUGGACAUCCUAAUCUGUCCACUUCAUUAAAUAAUGAUAUAACUAAUAGUAACAUGUUUAGUAAAGAUAAUGAAAGCGAAUUACCCGAAGGGAAUAGAAAUGACAUAGAUGCAAGUGCAAGUGCAAGUGCAAAUGCAAGUGCGAGUGUUGCGAUGGAUGUAGAUGUUAAUAUAAACAUGAAUCAAGAUUUUGAUUGUUUAGCAAAAGAAUUAUUAGAAAAUUAUAAAAAAUUGUCUACACAAAUAAAUUAUAUUUUUUUUGACAUGAUUAUUAAAAAUGUACAGUCAAAAAAUGAUAUAGCAAUUUUAUUUUACACUACUUUACAUUUGGCAAAUAUGGGGCAUGUACAUAUUUUGCAGAAGCCUAUACUCCCGACUCAGU